UAAGCGGAGGAAAAGAAACUAACAAGGAUUCCCCUAGUACUGCGAGUGAAGCGGGAAAAGCUCAAAUUUGGAAUCUGGUGGUCUUUGGCCAUCCGAGUUGUAAUUUAGAGAAGCGUCUUCCGCGCUGGACCGUGCACAAGUCUCCUGGAAUGGAGCGUCAUAGAGGGUGAGAAUCCCGUCUUUGGCACGGAAUCCCAGGGCUUCUGUGAUGCGCUCUCGACGAGUCGAGUUGUUUGGGAAUGCAGCUCAAAAUGGGUGGUGAACUCCAUCUAAAGCUAAAUAUUGGCGAGAGACCGAUAGCGAACAAGUACCGUGAGGGAAAGAUGAAAAGCACUUUGGAAAGAGAGUGAAACAGUACGUGAAAUUGUUGAAAGGGAAACGCUUGAAGUCAGUCGCGUCGACCGAGACUCAGCCUUGCCUCGGCUUGGUGUACUUCUNG
rnacentral:rRNA from 1 species